rnacentral:rRNA from 1 species
AAAGCCUGAUCCAGCCAUGCCGCGUGUGUGAAGAAGGUCUUCGGAUUGUAAAGCACUUUAAGUUGGGAGGAAGGGUUGUAGAUUAAUACUCUGCAAUUUUGACGUUAGCGACAGAAUAAGCACCGGCUAACUUCGUGCCAGCAGCCGCGGUAAUACGAAGGGGGCUAGCGUUGUUCGGAAUUACUGGGCGUAAAGCGCACGUAGGCGGAUCGAUCAGUUAGGGGUGAAAUCCCGGGGCUCAACCCCGGAACUGCCUCUAAUACUGUCGAUCUCGAGUUCGAGAGAGGUGAGUGGAAUUCCGAGUGUAGAGGUGAAAUUCGUAGAUAUUCGGAGGAACACCAGUGGCGAAGGCGGCUCACUGGCUCGGUACUGACGCUGAGGUGCGAAAGCGUGGGGAGCAAACA